CCGAGAACCUUCUAGAGCCACAUAACUCACCACGCACUAUUGACCUGAGCUCUAGAACAGGUUUCCUAAGUUUCAGAACUCUAGGUCUGAUGGUUCUUUAAUAGUUUCAACAAAGGUAACUAUUGCAGGCUCUGUUUGUCUCUACGCACCACACUGUGUCCCUCCGUCCAAGCUGUGUGUGUGUGUGUGAGUUUUUCUUGGAAAUCUUAUUCGAGACAUGACUUAUUUACAGUUCAUGAGGGUUGCCUAAUCGCACAUAUGAAGUUUUGGAAAGAUCUGACUUUUUUAACCCUUCGAAACAGCCCCUAUGACACCAAUUAUGGCACUUCCGGUUGGCACAGGAAGCGAAAAGUAAAAAUAUCCUCAUUGGGGUAUGCUUUUACAGAAUCCUGUGUUAUAAGUCUUUGCGUUAAGAACUGACUGAUUUACACAGGGUUGAAUUCACUAUUUCUAUCAAACAUCAGGUUGGGUAUGGAAAAACACUUUUAGGGUGAUUUUAACCACUUCCAGUUGCUCCAGGAAGCUUAGAAUCGACACAGGUAGACCUCAUAGUGGCCUGAUGGAUUGUCAUCGAAGACCGGUUCAUAAGACAUUCAUAACCCACAUAGGCUUCAGGUUGAAUUUAGGGGUGCAGGCAAUGUAUUCCUAUGGGUAGAGAAGUCAUUGAAAACUGUUUGGUGAAAAAAAACUGUUUUAACUGUUAAGGGUUAAUGCCACACGGUCAAGUUUAGGCUUGCACAGAUCGGGAGGACCUUAGGAACAUUCCUGUGGUUGAAUUGUCCUUCUAAACCUAACGGUUCCGCCGCUGUCACCCAAAAGCAAAUGACGUUGUGUGGCAUGGUCGCUGCGCUUAGACCGAGUGAGCUACGGUCAAGCGGGGCAUCUCGUUGAAUUCGGCACGGCCUAGAGAUUAUGAUGACAUUGCAGGCUCUGAGUUUCUUUCAGCACUGCACUUUGUCAGUCCAUCCUUGCUGUGUGUGUGUGUGUGAGAGAGAGAGAGCUUUUCUUUGACAUCUGUAUUCUAGGUGAUGUAGUGGUGUAAUAAUGUGUUGUAUUGUAGGUGAUGUAUUGGUGUAAUAAUGUGUUGUAUUGUAGAUAUGUAGUGGUGUAAUAAUGUGUUGUAUUCUAGGUGAUGUGGUGGUGUAAUAAUGUGUUGUAUUGUAGGUGAUGUAUUGGUGUAAUAAUGUGUUGUAUUGUAGAUAUGUAGUGGUGUAAUAAUGUGUUGUAUUCUAGGUGAUGUAGUGGUGUAAUAAUGUGAUGUAGUGGUGUAAUAAUGUGUUGUAUUGUAGGUGAUGUAGUGGUGUUGUAUUGUAGGUGAUGUAGUGGUGUAAUAAUGUGUUGUAUUGUAUGUGAUGUAGUGGUGUAAUAAUGUGAUGUAUUGUAUGUGAUGUAGUGGUGUAAUAAUGUGUUGUAUUGUAGGUGAUGUAGUGGUGUAAUAAUGUGUUGUAUUGUAGGUGAUGUAGUGGUGGAAUAAUGUGUUGUAUUGUAUGUGAUGUAGUGGUGUAAUAAUGUGAUGUACUGUAGGUGAUGUAGUGGUGUAAUAAUGUGUUGUAUUGUAGCUGAUGUAGUGGUGGAAUAAUGUGUUGUAUUGUAGGUGAUGUAGUGGUGUAAUAAUGUGUUGUAUUGUAGGUGAUGUAGUGGUGUAAUAAUGUGAUGUAUUGUAUGUGAUGUAGUGGUGUAAUAAUGUGUUGUAUUGUAGGUGAUGUAGUGGUGUUGUAUUGUAGGUGAUGUAGUGGUGUAAUAAUGUGUUGUAUAUGUGAUGUAGUGGUGUAAUAAUGUGCCUUAAGGCUCAGAACAUUCUUAGUCAAAGGUCAGGAAUUAACAGUGACCCAUUAAGCCAUGCAGAGACAUUCUCCAUCAGCAUGCCAGCUUUCCAUGUCAAAUUUGUCCUCAUUCAGUGCUGCCAGACAAAAAUGCAUCCAGUUACACGUUUUUUGAUGUUGUGGCUAUUGUAAUCGACUCUAAGGCAAGUGGGCUCAGACACUGAAAACGGUAUGUUUUUCCAGGCAAAGGUUCCUCUCUGGAUUGUAUAUAUACAGCUCUUGCGAUUAUUUUAGGGGAUGUGACAAAUGUAAAAAUGUCCUUAAGGUUUAACCAGACUUUUUUCUCUCUCAUUUAAUCAUUUGUAAUAAAAUCAUAGGAUAACGUGAAUUCAAAAUUCAGAUACGAUCGCCUAUGACCACUAGGGGGCAAUUCAUUUCAAUGUACCGUUGUCUCGACCACCUACCAGCUAGAUGGCGCUCACCUUACUGCUGUCCCCGACCCACUCAGCAACAAUGGUAUUAAUGCCGAUUUAGGUUCUCUGUUGUGUUCCUUUCCUCCAUGUUCUCAGUGGUCAGUACUUCUCAUCAAGGUAUCAAGGUCGUUGCAGUGAUGUAUGACAGCGUGUUCAUAACAAUCUGUUGUUAACGCGCUUUGUACUUGCAGAGCAAUCAUUGUACAAUUUCUCCAUCUGGGCCAUCACAGUCUUGUAGUCUGGUUCUAGAUAUGCCAUCAGGUUAUUGAAGCCGACGUCUAUCCGCAUAACAACUGCAAUCAUGUAAUCAGCUCUGUGGUUUUUCUCACUCUUUUUUUUCUAUUUUUCCGGGCAAGUCAGUUAAGAACUAAUUCUUAUUUACAAUGACGGCCUUGGAACAGUGGGUUACCUUGUUCAGGGGCAGAACGACAGAUGUUUACGUUGUCAGCUCGGGGAUUCGAUCUUGCAAACUUUCGGUUACUAAUCCAACGCUCUAACCACUAGGCUACCCUGCCACCCCAAAGCUCUAACCACCAGGCUACCCUGCCACCCCAACGCUCUAACCACUAGGCUACCUGCCGCCCCAACGCUCUAACCACUAGGCUACCUGCCGCCCCAACGCUCUAACCACUAGGCUACCUGCCGCCCCAACGCUCUAACCACUAGGCUACCCUGCCACCCC
ensembl:lncRNA